AUGGUGUCACGUCUGCACAGCAAGAUGAUAGGGUGUAGGCGGCCCAUGGCUGUGGUCAGUAGCCGGUGGAAGAAGAUGAACGGCCACAUCGGGAGGGAGACAGCAGUCAGAAUUAGUCGGGAAGCAGCAGAAGGGAAUAUUGGGCAAUGGGCGGAAGCGAGGACCCCCUUCGGGGCGUGAAGGAAUAAGGCAUUUGAGCAGUAAACUUUUUUUUUUAGGGGUGAAAUCAGGGACGGUACCUAAUGAAUAAGCCACGGCUAAAUUACGUGCCAGCAGCCGCGGUAAUACGUAGGUGGCAAGCGUUGUCCGGAAUUACUAGGUGUAAAGGGCAGGUAGGCGGGAAUACAAGUCAGAUUCAAAUCCAUGGGCUCAACCCAGCGCGGCAGGAGAAACUGUGUUUCUGGAAUGAGGGAGAGGCAGGCGGAAUUCCUAGUGUAGCGGUGAAAUGCGCAGAUAUCAGGAGGAACACCAAAGGCGAAGGCAGUCUUCUAAACAUCAACUGACGCUAAUGCGCGAAAGCGCGGGGAUCAAACAGGAUUAGAUACCCUGGUAGUCC
rnacentral:rRNA from 1 species